UUACUAACGAAAUGUCUCAUAAAAAAGCGAAUUUGGGUUGUCGUACUCCCCACGCAGAAAGAAUCAGAAGCAAUCUUUCGAAUAGGACUGAAGAAGAGCGGAAAUUGGUAUGGGAGACGCAGCGGCUAAGGCAAAUACAGAGGAUUCUUAUAGAACCAGCCGAAAGGCGUGCAGCCAGGUUUGAGCAUGAGCGUUUGCUCCCGCGCACAGAUAAGAUCAUCGUUCUUACAACGAAGAAAAAAUCAGAAGUAUUCUUUCGAUUAGGAUUGAAGAGCGGGAAUUAAUACGGGUUACUGAGCGGCUAAAGCAAAGGCAGAGGAUUCUUAUGGAAGCAUCCGAAGACUAGAUCGACAGGAGCGAUAUUUAUAUGACCCAGCUGCUAAUUAUGGUUCCAGCCGCUAUGUCGUUAUUGGACAGAUACGGGAGACGGAGCGGCUAAGGCAAAUGCAGAAGAUUUUUAUAAAACCAGCCGAAUGGCGUGCAGCCAGGCUGGAGCAUGAACGUUUGCUCCCGAGCAAAGAUAAGACCAAAUCGACAAGCGCAAUACCAUCGUAUUGCAUUUCGAUAUGACCCAGCUGCUGAUUAUGGCCCCGGCCAGAUCAGUCAUCUCUGCACUUACUGUCAGGCUCUAAAGUUCAAUAAUGAAACGAAAGGAAUGUGUUGUGCUGGUGGCAAAAUCAAAUUACCUCAACUUGAAGCACCACCAGAGCCACGGCGAACUCUACUUUCCAGAUCCACUACUGAAUCGGAUCAUUUCCUAUCAAACAUUAGGAAAUAUAAUUCCUGCUUCCAAAUGACGUCAUUUGGGGCGGAAAUUGUGCUUAAGUUGUCCAUCAGCACAAGUCCAUCAGUCUUCACAAUCGAAACAAUUUGACAAAACAUCCACUGGAGAGCAUGUCAGGAGAUAUAAUGCUGCAACUAUAGACGAAGUGGCGAUUGUCAUAGUCGGGGAUCAGUUCCAACCUCGAGAUAUUAUUCUCCAUCGACGAAGCAAUCAUUUGACAAACGUCGCUGAAACAUACCGCAGUUACGAUGGUUUGCAGUAUCCAAUUAACUUCUGGAAUGAUGCCGAUGGAUAUCACUUCAAUGUGAAGAUGGUAGAUCCAGGGAAUGCACUAUGGUCCCAAAGUCGUUUUUUUUUACAUUAAUUAGGAAAAAAAAUAUCUUGAUUUAUAAAAAAAAAAAAAAUUUUUCCAAUUGAGUACACCCCACAAACCAAAGAAAUUAAAGUAUCAAAUAAAUAGUGCAGCCCUGAAAGUUUAA